UACGACAAUAUAAGGCUGAAGCACAUGUUCUCGUACGAUCACAGAAGUUAAGCAACAUCGAGUUUGGUCAGUAACUAGAUGGGUGACCGCUUGGGAAUACCAUGUGCUGCAAGC